rnacentral:miRNA from 1 species
UUGCUGCCAUUCAUACCUUACAA